CUGGCUCAGGAUGAACGCUGGCGGCGUGCUUAACACAUGCAAGUCGAACGGAGUUAAGAAGGAAGCUUGCUUCAUUUAAACUUAGUGGCGGACGGGUGAGUAACGCGUGAGGAACCUGCCCUUCAGUGGGGAACAACAACUAGAAAUGGUUGCUAAUACCGCAUAAUGUCGGAGAGCCGCAUGACUUUCCGACCAAAGGAUUUAUUCGCUGAAGGAUGGCCUCGCGUCCGAUUAGGUAGUUGGUGAGGUAACGGCCCACCAAGCCUACGAUCGGUAGCCGAACUGAGAGGUUGAUCGGCCACAUUGGGACUGAGACACGGCCCAGACUCCUACGGGAGGCAGCAGUGGGGGAUAUUGGGCAAUGGGCGAAAGCCCUGACCCAGCAACGCCGCGUGAAGGAUGACGGUCUUCGGAUUGUAAACUUCUUUAAUUGGGGAAGAACAAAAUGACCUACCCGAAGAAUAAGUCACGGCUAACUACGUGCCAGCCGCUGC
rnacentral:rRNA from 1 species